GUUAAGUCAGGCAACGAGCGAGACCCACGUCCACAGUUGCCAGCAUACCCUCCGGGGUGAUGGGUACACUGUGGAGACCGCCGCUGGCUAAAGCGGAGGAAGGAGUGGGCAACGGUACGGUCAGUAUGCCCCGAAUCUCCCGGGCUACACGCGGGCUACAAUGGUUGGUACAAUGGGCAUCUACCCCGAAAGGGGAAGGAAGUCUCUUAAAGCCAAUCGUAGUUCGGAUUGAGGGCUGCAAUUCGCCCUCAUGAAGCUGGAAUCCGUAGUAAUCGCGUUUCAACAGAACGCGGUGAAUACGUCCCUGCUCCUU
rnacentral:rRNA from 1 species